CUUAAAAACGGGGCAAGUCGCACGAGAAAGUGGAGCGGACUGAGUAAAGUGGCGUACGGGUGAGUAACACGUGGAUUAUCUACCUCUUGGUGGGGAAUAACCCUGGGAAACCGGGGCUAACAGACGCAUAAGCUGCUCAAGGAAACAGGAGACAGGAAAGCAGUAAUGCGCCGAGAGGAGAGUCCGCGGCCGAUUAGCUAGUUGGCGGGGUAACGGCAAACAGGCGAAGAUCGGUAGCCGGCCUGAGGAGGCACACGGCCACACUGGCACUGAAACACGGGCCAGACUCCUACGGGGAGCAGCAGUGGGGAAUCUUGCACAAUGGGAGAAACUCUGAUGCAGCGACGCCGCGUGAGCGAUGAAGCCCUUCGGGGUGUAAAGCUCUUUAGACGGGAACUAGGAAUGACGGUACCCGAAGAAGAAGCUGCGGCUAACUACGUGCCAGCAGCCGCGGUAAUACGUAGGCAGCGAGCGUUGUUCGGAAUUACUGGGCGUAAAGAGUGUGUAGGCGGUGUUCUAAGUCUGUUGUGAAACCUCCCGGCUUAACUGGGGAGGUGCGGCGGAGACUGGAAUGCUAGAGUAUGGGAGGAGUAAGCGGAAUUCCUGGUGUAGCGGUGAAACGCGUAUAGGAUCAGGGAGAACACCUGUGGUGUAGACAGCUUACUGGACCAUGACUGACGCUGAGACACGAAAGCGUGGGUAGCAAACAGGAUUAUAGG
rnacentral:rRNA from 1 species